ensembl:lncRNA
CCGGCUCCCAGCAGAGGGGGUGGGGUGAGGAGGACGCGGAAUCCUGGGCUCGCCAUAGCUUGGGGGCCUUGCAGUUCCUGGCCGCGCCUGCACGGCCUCCCCAGUGGCGCUCCCGGGGUGAAGGAAGGGUGAAAGGGUGAACCGGAGGGACGAGUGCCCAGGCCUGCCGCGUCUCCAGGAGCCUGCCACCGCUGCCUGCAGAGCAGACGGGACCUCGGCACGGGAAGUGCUCCGUGAGGAGGGUGCAAGCUGGCUGAUCUCUUCAGUCCUGAGAUGACCGAGCAAAUGUUACACUGAACAGGAGCAGGGUGAAGACUGAAACCCACAUCCCCAGUCCACAGAUUUGUGAUGUUUUAUUAGUCUUGAGUUUCAUGAGCCUCCUCGGGGGGAGCUGAAAAUGAGUUUAGAACAAGACUGGAAGAAUGACAGGUACCAUCUAGAAGGUGGAGGAUGAAGUUAAAGGAAGCAGGCCUGAUACCUCUUGAAGUGAAUAUGGAGAGCUCGCACGGGCAUUUCUUCACUGGGACACCACUGAGGGAUUCAUGGAGAAACAUACAGCUUAUGCCUUACAAAUUUCAAGUUGAAGGUCUGAGGUGGUUAUGGCCUGCAACAGGACACUUAAGAGGGAACUCCCUAUGGGCUGAGAUUUGACCUGGUUGGAGACCUGGUGUUCUUCUAAAGUCCAAGCAACUCUUGGUGACAUUGGACAUUCCUCCUUCUGUUGGUACCACCAGCUUACUGGAUGGCGCACCAAACUGGAGAGCAGCAAGAGUGGACCUGUGUGGAGAGAGCUUUGGGCAUCUUGAUGCUUGAAAUCUGUCCCUGCCUCCAGCACAGAGACAGCGAAGUGAAAGCAGGGCUCAAGAAGUGAAGAGGCCAUGAUAGCCCACACAUGGACCACAUUGACCACGUUAUUUUCUUUCCAUAAGCUAAAAGGGCAUCUCUGAAUUCUCAAAAAAAAAAAAAGAAAACAUGUUCAUAUUUUCAAAAUUCUUCUAAUAUUUUAAACUGAGGUUUUAAAAAGGGAUAAAGAGCUUUCUGACAGUUCAGGCAUCAUAGACUGAAUUGGAAGACUUAGCCUACGGGGCUUGACAUUUGACUAUCUGGGCAGCAAUAGAGCUUGCACCCAGAUGAGAAGAAAAUGACAUGGUGGUUCAAAUAUGUUUUAUAGUCCUCCCCGCAUUGUGUAUAUAGAUCUUGGAUGCUGUAAGAACAAGGAUCUCGAGGGUGCAUGAAGACAAAUAAAGUGAGCAACAGCCAGUGGCUUCCAGUUGGCUGGCCUGUUUCAACUCAGGAAAAUAAAGGCAUUGGUAACUGAUUUGUUCUCCUCCUCAAACAAAAUAUUCAGAGGAAGAGUUUAAAUGAUGAGGAUCUAGUGGUAAACCAUGCAAAUAAAAAUCCCUGCCAUGGAGAGAUUCAAUUUUAAGAAUGCCCUAGGGAUCCCUUUGGGUGGAGAAUUUAAUUGCAUUUUCAGUUUCAAUGUCCACACCAUGGCCAGCACUGAACAGAGAGGACAAUUUUUGCAGUGUUACAGAACUUUAAGUCUCCUGGCUGUUUAUAUUCACUGGCCCCAUCCAAGGUCCUGUGUGGUAUUCUCAAGGAUUUGGGGUGUAGCUGAGGGUGGAGCACUGGCCCAGUCAGGGAGCAGCAUCCACAUCCUCUGUCUGUGGGUAAGGUCAGUGGGUACCCCGCACCCCCUCCUGUGUGCCAACCUCCAGAUGCACCUGCCCUGUGUGAGGCCUCCCUAAGUACCUGCAAUCCAGAUGGCACCAAGGAGCAGGUUUGGAACAGGAUGCUUGCCGCACCACUCUCUGCAUAGGACCCUCCAGACUAAGGCUCAGUUACAGACACCUGUGUCUUUCUCCCCCUCCCACAACACCAGACUGGGUGCUGGAGCAGCUGCUGAGGCAAUGGCCACGGGGUCAGCUGGAGAGCAAAGGUCUGGAAGCCCUGGGACUUUCUCAUGAAGCACUUUUGGAGCAAGAUACUGCUUCAGCAGUAAGUGCUGAAGCUAAAGGAAUAUUUUUCACUCCAUCACCAGCAAAUAAACAACGUCUAUCUACACGACUAGAGAAAGACAAAAUGUCUUCCUCUGUACAGAGAAUGGUAUUUUAAAGUUCUUCACAUAUGAGGAAGGAAGAAAAAGGAUGAAGUAAAAAAAAUAAAUUUAUAAAAGUGGGUACAAGAG